CUGUUCUAUUCUAGUGGGUGGUUUCUCUGCUCGGGCUGCUGUGCCCGACGCGCGGCGGGGGCGCGAUGACGUGCGUGUGUCACUCCGUGGGGCCGCUGCCGCGUCGCGUGCGUCUGCCAUGCCCAAGCUGCUGAGUGCCCUUCUUCCUCGUCUCCGCCCCGCUGCAACCUCUCCUCGUGCCUCGCCUAGCUUCCUUCGACUGUCCUCUGCUGCGGUCUGUUGCGGUGGCCUCCUUUGCUCUAUGGACGCCGCUGGUUGAGCUUGGUUCGACUUGCCGUUGUCGCCUGCGUCGAGCCGUGGGUCUUUCUGUCCUUCGCGUUCAGGUUGUUUUCCUAGUUCAUCCUGAUGUUUGGAUCGCGUGCUCCUCCAGUCCUCCUUCCUAGCUUUGGUUGUACGAUCUUGCCCGCUGCUGCUUGCCAUUUGGUUAUGUGGUACAGUGUGAAUCCGGUGGCUGCCCAGAUCUGUACUGCGCGUAGGGGCGGGUGUUCUCGGCCAGAGUUGGGCGUUCUUGCUGACUUUCUGUCUAACCUAUCCACAAGUAUACUAGCCAAUUUCUAUUUAUUUGAUUUUCCUUUCCAAGUACUCCCUCAAUUCCUAAAUAUUUGUCUUUCUAGAGAUUUUAAAUGGAACACCACAUACGGAUGUAUAUAGACAUAUUUUAGAGUGUAGAUUCACUCAUUUUGCUCCGUAUGCAGUCACUUGUUGAAAUAUCUAGAAAGACAAAUAUUUAGGAACGGAGGGAGUACAUGCUUUAGUUUAUCCUGGUCUUCGUACCUUUUUUAUGUUACCUUGGUGGUCGAUGCAGAAUCACAAAUGCAAAGCAAGAUGUGCAAAUGUGAGGAUAGACCUAUGAUUCGCGUUCACAACUUGUUCUUGUUAAAAGAACUACUCUACAAGUUUGUUGCAAGUUACAGUAAUUGUGAGGAUAUGAUACCUUAUAGAAAUGAUGCCUUAGUGUUUCUUGCU